AAUCAACGCUGGCGGCGUGCCUCAGACAUGCAAGUCGAACGAUUAAAGCUUCCUUCGGGAAGUGUAUAGAGUGGCGUACGGGUGAGUAACACGUAAGUAAUCUACCCUUGGGUGGGGAAUAACUUAGGGAAACCUAAGCUAAUACCGCAUAAUGCAGCGGCUCCAUAUGGAGACAGUUGUUAAAGCAUUUAUGUGCCUAAGGAGGAGCUUGCGGCAGAUUAGCUAGUUGGUAAGGUAAUGGCUUACCAAGGCGACGAUCUGUAGCCGGUCUAAGAGGACGGUCGGUCACACUGACACUGAAUAACGGGUCAGACUCCUACGGGAGGCAGCAGUCGGGAAUUUUGGGCAAUGGGCGCAAGCCUGAUCCAGCAAUGCCGCGUGUGUGAAGAAGGCCU
rnacentral:rRNA from 1 species